rnacentral:rRNA from 1 species
GUGGGGAAUCUUAGACAAUGGGGGCAACCCUGAUCUAGCCAUGCCGCGUGAGUGAUGAAGGCCUUAGGGUUGUAAAGCUCUUUCAGUGGGGAAGAUAAUGACGGUACCCACAGAAGAAGCCCCGGCUAACUCCGUGCCAGCAGCCGCGGUAAUACGGAGGGGGCUAGCGUUGUUCGGAAUUACUGGGCGUAAAGCGCACGUAGGCGGAUCGGAAAGUUGGGGGUGAAAUCCCAGGGCUCAACCCUGGAACUGCCUUCAAAACUAUCGGUCUGGAGUCCGAGAGAGGUGAGUGGAAUUCCGAGUGUAGAGGUGAAAUUCGUAGAUAUUCGGAAGAACACCAGUGGCGAAGGCGACUCACUGGCCCAAUACUGACGCUGAGGCGCGAAAGCGUGGGGAGCAAACAGGAUUAGAAACCCCAGUAGUCC